UGAUUUGCUUCUGCAGUUGGCAAAUCGCCCCCGCGCUACCGUAAACCGUAUCUCGGAUCCUCGCAUUCGCCUCAUAUACCAUGCUGCUUACCGCGUCGGUCCUCUGAGACUCGGGAAGUUCCUGAAAAUUUUUCAACAGGAAGCAGAGCAAAUUAG